ACGCCAGUGGUGUAAUGGCGUUGAGCAUUCUUGCCGGUGAGCAGGAGGCGAGGGUUCGAGUCCCGCCUGGCGCU
rnacentral:tRNA from 1 species